UGCACGGUGGAUUAGGGGUUAGAACAUUCACCUCACCCCUCCAGGGUUGCGGGUUCGAUUCCCGCCGCUGCCC